rnacentral:rRNA from 1 species
GUCCACGCCGUAAACGAUGUCUACUAGCUGUUCGUGGUCUUGUACCGUGAGUAGCGCAGCUAACGCAUUAAGUAGACCGCCUGGGGAGUACGGUCGCAAGAUUAAAACUCAAAUGAAUUGACGGGGGCCCGCACAAGCGGUGGAGCAUGUGGUUUAAUUCGACGCAACGCGAAGAACCUUACCUACUCUUGACAUCUACAGAACUUAGCAGAGAUGCUUUUGUGCUUUCGGGAACUGUAAGACAGGUGCUGCAUGGCUGUCGU